rnacentral:lncRNA from 1 species
GAGGCCUCGGCGCAGCUGUUCAGGUUCACCGUUGGGGCUUUGUGCUCUGUUAACUGCGAGCGUUUGUUAGUAGCCAUGUAGGCCAUGAGUGAAUGGGUUUACUGGAUUAUUUCUUUAUUUACUUGUUUAUUUAUAGACAGGGGCUCUCAAUGUAGCCCAGGCUGGCCAGGAACUUACUAUGUAGACCAGGCUGACUUCAGUUGCUUCUGUUCUCAGGGUUUAAAGGCACAUGCGUGGGUGUUUUUAGAAGAGCAGGUGAUAUUCAACAAGACGAAGAACAUGGCUGCUUUUCUCUGUUCCCAGAGGACUGGCAGGGUUGUCCUGAUGUAUGUGGGCACACAGGAGGAUGCCGUGCUAGGGUCAAUGUUAAGGGAGAUAUUCAUCACAGAGCCUACGCCAGGCAGACUCAGAGUUACCUGAUGUAUGGAGCAUGCUUCGCACCCGAUUUCCUAGAUGACAAAGCACAGAGGCACGGAUUAGGACAAUGUCACUGAUCAAGAUGUGAGCUCUCAGCUUUUCCAGCCACCAUGUCUUUGCUCUGCAAUCAUGAACUCUCUGGAACUGGAAACCCCAAACCACAUGCUUUCUUUUUUAUAAGUUGUCUCGGCCAUGGGGUUUUAUCACAGCAAUAGAACAGAAGCUAAGACAGAGCCCAUGGCCUUUUAUGUGCUAGGGAAGUGCUCUCCCAUUGGCCACACAGUCCCAGGCCAGUGACAUCAUUCUUCAUGAGUUUUCUUGAGACAAAUGUUGACUGAAUCAUCAACUAAGGGAGCUUUUUCUGUGGUAAAGCCAGGUCUUCUGGCACAGUGAUAACUAUUUUAUAAAUACAUCAUAUCUUGUCAUAACUAGAUUGCAGAUGGAGUCCACAGCACAUCGGUGUCAAAUGAGGAAAAUCUUGCAAAUAUUAACUCAUAUCAUCAGUUUUCAAGAUUCAUUAUAGUGGUAUAAGCCAAUCAUCCCAGGACAGGCUCCAUAACAGCCUUUAGAGUAAGACUCUGGGUAAACAAAAAGCUUCACAAGAAGUUCACAUGGCUGUGUGUGGUGGUACAUGCCUGUAAUCUCAGCACUCGGAAGACUGUUGCAAGUUCAAGGCCAGCCUAGUCUACACAGCAAGACCUGUCUUGAUGGGGGUUAGAGGUUAAGGGAAAGAGAGAUGGAACAGAAGACAAAAACCAGUCUUCUUCAUUACCUAUUUUUGCAUAAUUUAUUAUUAAAUAUUGUUAUUGUUAAUAAAGGAUGAUAAAAUGGAGACUUUAGUAAGGUUAAACUAGUAUGUAUGUGUAUAUGUAUAAAUAUAUAUUUACUUUUAAAAAACAUCAUUUGCUAUAUAUAAAGUUACUUAUAAGUACACUUCUAUAAAUAUGUCAUAAUA